AGUGAACGCUGGCGGUAGGCCUAACACAUGCAAGUCGAACGGCAGCACAGUAAGAGCUUGCUCUUACGGGUGGCGAGUGGCGGACGGGUGAGGAAUACAUCGGAAUCUACUUUUUCGUGGGGGAUAACGUAGGGAAACUUACGCUAAUACCGCAUACGACCUACGGGUGAAAGCAGGGGAUCUUCGGACCUUGCGCGAUUGAAUGAGCCGAUGUCGGAUUAGCUAGUUGGCGGGGUAAAGGCCCACCAAGGCGACGAUCCGUAGCUGGUCUGAGAGGAUGAUCAGCCACACUGGAAAUGAGACAGGGUCCAGACUCCUACGGGAGGCAGCAGUGGGGAAUCUUGGACAAUGGGCGCAAGCUUGAUCCAGCCAUACCGCGUGGGUGAAGAAGGCCUUCGGGUUGUAAAGCCCUCUUGUUGGGAAAGAAAAGAAGCAGGUUAAAACCCCGCUGUUCUGACGGUACCCAAAGAAAAAGCACCGGCUAACUUCGUG
rnacentral:rRNA from 1 species